UACGGAAGAUCCGAGCGUUAUCCGGAAUUACUGGGCGUAAAGCGUGCGUAGGUGGUUUGUUAAGUCUGUUGUGAAAGCCCCGGGCUCAACCUGGGAAUGGCAUUUGGGACUGCAAGGCUGGAGUGCGGCAGAGGAGACUGGAAUUCCUGGUGUAGCAGUGAAAUGCGUAGAUAUCAGGAGGAAUACCGAUGGCGAAGGCAGGUCUCUGGGCUGACACUGACGCUCAUACACGAAAGCGUGGGGAUCAAACAGG
rnacentral:rRNA from 1 species